CCUCUGCACCCCGCGAUCACACAGGCCGGGGCAGUGCAGGUCCCCCGUGCCCUUCGCGGGACGUUCCCAGCCAGGGCAGCACGCGCUCCGCCCCCGCUCGUCAGCUGGGCAGCACGUGCGCACGCCCACCCCUGCCCACCGCCGGGAUUUCACUCCGCCCGCCUGGCCCGGGCCGGGGUUGUGUGAGGUCACCAUGUCAGGGGGAGGCGCCCCGCGGCUAAGGUUUCAGUCGCGCGCCAGGGCUCCUCUAUAUACAGACGCCACCGCCUCGCGCUUUCUGACCACUUAGCGCUCGGAACCAGACGGGCGGUUGCUGCUGAGGAGGGCUCGCGUGUGCAUGCAGAGCCCCGUCCCGUUUGCUGGCUGGGCGGGGGCGCUGCAGAGGGGGAGGCCUUUCGGGGAGCGUGGGCCAUCCAGAUUGUUCUGUGCCAGUCUGCUUGACUUUUGCCCCAGUCAGUGCCUUUGCUAUGGCAUCUGUGCCUUCAGCUGGCUGCCUCCUGGCCAAGAAUCAGUACUACAGAACUCGAUUGAAUUCUGAAUCCAGUGUUUCAUCAGGUGGUUCAUCCUUCUGUUCUGAUCCCGUGAACUUCUCAGACCAGGAUAAAGCCCAUCAUGGGUUACCUGAAUUAUUUGAUAAAUGCUGGUGGAUAAAAAACUUUUUCCAUUCUGAACCAUCUUCUUCUCCAAACAUGAAUGGAAAAACGUUAUCGACCAGCAGUGUUGCAAGUUGACUUUACCUGCAGUGAUGUUACAUAUAUAGAUUCAUUUCUCUAAAGCUCAGGGUCUUUCAGAUGGCUGCAUUCAGCUGUGUGAAGAAAAUAUACUGCUUGAAACUUCACUUCCACGAGCGAAAGUAGAAUUUCACAAAGAUUUGUCAGUAGCUUAAAUGGUUUUGCUUAGGCAGGCAUAGUUUCUACCUACGCUGUCUGCUACUGAGUUGUUAAUGUUCGAUUAAAUCUAUUUUAAAUAUUUUUAAAUGAAAAUUAAAUGGAUUUAAUAUCCUAAUGACUAGCCCAUAUCACUGGAAGAAAUGACAGUAAAAAGUAAGAUCAGCAUAAAGUGGCCAGUGAUUAUCUAGGUUUUAUUUCUGUAAGUUGAAAAGCUUCUGUGGACUGUCAGUGUCAAAAUUUUUCAAGGGUGCUGUGACUUAAAACAGAAAAGUUUGUGUUUUGAAAUGUCUAUUCAGUAAGUAGUAUUUUUCCAUAAGUUUAAGUUUUACUAUAUCAACUAUGCUGACAUCAAAUGGAUAUAAAUUAGUUUCAGAUUAACAGAUUCCUGUUAUAUAAUGGAUCUGGCACAUCUUUCCCAAGUGCCAGGUAUAGCAGUUACAUACUGUUAAGGAAGUUUACAAACAAGUUAAUAGGUUUAAUACCUUUAAUUGUGGAAAAUUCUAUUAAACAACAGUCAUUAGCUCUGUCCCCUUGUUAUGGCUGAAUAUGGAUUCUGACCUUAAAUACAGAUGUGUACUUCUCAUUCACAUGCAUGCACCUAAGUAUUUGAGGACAGAAAAUGAGGACUUCGUAAAUAGUCUAACUUUCAUGGAUUUUGACCUUUUGAUGUGCAACCAUAUUUCACUUUUUUUUAAUACUGUUGGUUAAAGAGCCUCUUGUUAUGUAUUAAGUGCUCUCUAUAAACUAACCUUAUUGUAUGUGAACUCUUUGACAGUUCUGUUAUUAACAAUUAUCCCUGUCCAUUAAAUAUAUUUUUACACUAAUCAUGAUUUCCCUUCUUAAAGGAUCCUAAGCCGCUUAAAUUAAUUAUUAAUAUAAUCGCUUCACUCAGUGAUGAAUUGCAGCCCUUUCUGGUGUGAAGUAUGGUAGUUUAACAGUGCACAGUUAUACAACAGCAGUUAUGUUUUGUGAGGCGGAUGAGUGAAAUUGCUUAGGUGGAGGGGGAAUUGCAAAUAUUUGGCUUGAGCAUUUCAUAUCCAUAAGUUUCAGGACUAUUUCUCUAUGCAACUUUAUGAUGUAUCAGGUCUGUUCAGGUCAUUUACUGAAUUUAUCUGGUACAUUUUUAAGCACUUCAGGUAUUAAGUAACAAUGUAUCUUUUUAUAGUAAACAUGUAAACUUUAUCAUGACAUACAGAUAGUGCUAUAGAUGUCCAUGGCACUUGAGAAAAUAAUGAAGUAAUCCCUGCCCCAGAAAGUUUAUAAUGUAGCUUGAGACAGUAUACACAGGUGAGAACAAGGAUGAAGACAACUGUUAGAAGAAAUAGUGUGCUGGAACUCAUUACAUGAAAUAUAAAAAAGCAAUUUAUCUAUUUGUUUGUUUAAAAUGAUUGCAUCUUUUGAUCUUAGAAUUAUUUUAAAUGUAUGUUAUAAGCUACUCUAUUUUUAUACUAAAAUUUUAUAUUAAUAAAGUUUAAUUAUUAUGAGGUCUGAAAUGUUUC
ensembl:lncRNA